rnacentral:rRNA from 1 species
UGGGGAAUCAUGGUCAAUGGGCGAAAGCCUGAACCUGCGACGCCGCGUGAGUGAUGAAGGUCGUAAGAUCGUAAAACUCUUUUCAGGGAUCUUAAAGCCUGUCCGUCAACAACGGGCAGGUCUGGCUCUCCCUGGAAGAAGCCCCAGCCAACUACGUGCCAGCAGCUGCGGUAAUACGUAGGGGGCGAGCGUUAUUCGGAAUUACUGGGUGUAAAGGGUAUGUAGGAGGCCCUUCAAGUCGGGCGUCAAAGUCCAGUGCUCAACGCUGGGUGUGCGUGCGAUACUGACGGGCUUGAGGGCUGGAGAGGUGAGCGGAAUUCCCGGUGUAGUGGUAAAAUACGUAGAGAUCGGGAGGAACACCAGCGGCGCAGGCGGCUCACUAGACAGUUUCUGACGCUAAGAUACGAAAGCGUGGGGAGCAAACA